GACGAACGCUGGCGGCGUGCUUAACACAUGCAAGUCGAACGGAAAGGCCCUGCUUUUGUGGGGUGCUCGAGUGGCGAACGGGUGAGUAACACGUGAGUAACCUGCCCUUGACUUUGGGAUAACUUCAGGAAACUGGGUCUAAUACCGGAUAGGAGCUCCUGCUGCAUGGUGGGUGUUGGAAAGUUUCGGCGGUUGGGGAUGGACUCGCGGCUUAUCAGCUUGUUGGUGGGGUAGUGGCUUACCAAGGCUUUGACGGGUAGCCGGCCUGAGAGGGUGACCGGCCACAUUGGGACUGAGAUACGGCCCAGACUCCUACGGGAGGCAGCAGUGGGGAAUAUUGCAGAAUGGGCGGAAGCCUGAUGCAGCAACGCCGCGUGCGGGAUGACGGCCUUCGGGUUGUAAGCCGCUUUCGCCUGUGACGAAGCGUGAGUGACGGUAAUGGGUAAAGAAGCACCGGCUAACUACGUG
rnacentral:rRNA from 1 species